CGAAGGGGCUCCCCAGGCCCUCGCCCCAGGUCUGCCCGAUGCCCAUGCCGCCGCCUGUAUCCUCGCCCCCUGCAGAUCUGCAUAAGGCAGCCCAGCUGUGAAGAUAUGAUCCAUGGAUUAUUUAUGGCAUGUGUAUUAAGCAUCAAGAAUAGUAGAUGCAUUUUGAACCAGUAACUUGGUUGUCCCAUGCUGGAAACAAUGUUGCUGCUUAGUUUGUGUUAUUAAUAUGAUGUAGAUAUUGUGAAACUGUUAGUACUAGGACUUGCAGUGUGGUGAACAUGUAAUCUUGACUUUGUACAAGGAAUAUCAUGUUAUUUUCUAGUGGUGGCGGAACAUUGAACAUGUACUGAGAUUAAGUGCCAUUUGGAAUGUGAUUUGUGAUUGAAUUGCAGC